CCUACGGGAGACAGCAGUGAGGAAUAUUGGUCAAUGGACGAGAGUCUGAACCAGCCAAGUAGCGUGAAGGAUGACUGCCCUAUGGGUUGUAAACUUCUUUUAUAAAGGAAUAAAACGAGGCACGUGUGCCUUUUUGCAUGUACUUUAUGAAUAAGGAUCGGCUAACUCCGUGCCAGCAGCCGCGGUAAUACGGAGGAUCCGAGCGUUAUCCGGAUUUAUUGGGUUUAAAGGGAGCGUAGAUGGGUUGUUAAGUCAGUUGUGAAAGUUUGCGGCUCAACCGUAAAAUUGCAAUUGAUACUGGCAGUCGUGAGUACAGUUGAGGUAGGCGGAAUUCGUGGUGUAGCGGUGAAAUGCUUAGAUAUCACGAAGAACCCCGAUUGCGAAGGCAGCUUACUAAACUGUGACUGACAUUGAUGCUCGAAAGUGUGGGUAUCAAACAGGAUUAGAUACCCGGGUAGUC
rnacentral:rRNA from 1 species